UUAGGAAUCUGCCCAGUAGUGGGGGAUAGCCCGGGGAAACCCGGAUUAAUACCGCAUACGUCCUACGGGAGAAAGCAGGGGAUCUUCGGACCUUGCGCUAUUGGAUGAGCCUAAGUCGGAUUAGCUAGUUGGUGGGGUAAAGGCCUACCAAGGCGACGAUCCGUAGCUGGUCUGAGAGGAUGAUCAGCCACAUCGGGACUGAGACACGGCCCGAACUCCUACGGGAGGCAGCAGUGGGGAAUAUUGGACAAUGGGGGCAACCCUGAUCCAGCCAUGCCGCGUGUGUGAAGGAAGGCUUUCGGGUUGUAAAGCACUUUCAGUAGGGAGGAAAACCUUAUGGCUAAUACCCAUGAGGCUUGACGUUACCUACAGAAAGAAGCACCGGCUAACUCCGUGCCAGCAGCCGCGGUAAUACGGAGGGUGCAAGCGUUAAUCGGAAUUACUGGGCGUAAAGCGCGCGUAGGUGGUUUUGGUAAGCGAGAUGUGAAAAGCCCCCGGGCUUAACCUGG
rnacentral:rRNA from 2 species